rnacentral:rRNA from 1 species
AGGACGAACGCUGGCGGCGUGCUUAACACAUGCAAGUCGAACGGAAAGGCCCUUUCGGGGGUGCUCGAGUGGCGAACGGGUGAGUAACACGUGGGUGAUCUGCCCUGCACUUUGGGAUAAGCCUGGGAAACUGGGUCUAAUACCGAAUACACCCUGCUGGUCGCAUGGCCUGGUGGGGGAAAGCUUUUGCGGUGUGGGAUGGGCCCGCGGCCUAUCAGCUUGUUGGUGGGGUGAUGGCCUACCAAGGCGACGACGGGUAGCCGGCCUGAGAGGGUGUCCGGCCACACUGGGACUGAGAUACGGCCCAGACUCCUACGGGAGGCAGCAGUGGGGAAUAUUGCACAAUGGGCGCAAGCCUGAUGCAGCGACGCCGCGUGGGGGAUGACGGCCUUCGGGUUGUAACUGCUUUUCUCUGUGAGAUUAUGACGGUAACAGAAGAAUAAGGAUCUGCUAACUACGUGCCAGCAGCCGC